CUACGUGCCAGCAGCCGCGGUAAUACGUAGGUGGCAAGCGUUGUCCGGAAUUAUUGGGCGUAAAGCGCGCGCAGGCGGAUCAGUCAGUCUGUCUUAAAAGUUCGGGGCUUAACCCCGUGAGGGGAUGGAAACUGCUGAUCUAGAGUAUCGGAGAGGAAAGUGGAAUUCCUAGUGUAGCGGUGAAAUGCGUAGAUAUUAGGAAGAACACCAGUGGCGAAGGCGACUUUCUGGACGAAAACUGACGCUGAGGCGCGAAAGCCAGGGGAGCGAACGGGAUUAGAUACCCCGGUAGUCCUGGCCGUAAACGAUGGGUACUAGGUGUAGGAGGUAUCGACCCCUUCUGUGCCGGAGUUAACGCAAUAAGUACCCCGCCUGGGGAGUACGACCGCAAGGUUGAAACUCAAAGGAAUUGACGGGGGCCCGCACAAGCGGUGGAGUAUGUGGUUUAAUUCGACGCAACGCGAAGAACCUUACCAGGUCUUGACAUUGAUGGACAGAACUAGAGAUAG
rnacentral:rRNA from 1 species